GAAUCAAGUCACUGUUAAAGGCAUUUGGUGAUAUAUCUGUAAUACUUCCUAUGAUAGCAUUAAAAAAUGAAUGAUCAGGAAAAGAUCCCCUGACAGAGAAUGCAAAGUGACUUCUGGAUAAGAGCUAAAGAAAACCACCUUCCCUGCCAAACCGUUUUUAUUAAGUCUUCACACUCCUUCUUCCUAUCAACUAUGAAACCAUCUGAAAAAAGUAGCACACACCCACACACGCAUUAAUGGUGGAGAAGUACAAAUGAUCUAUUCAUAGACCAAAGCCAGGGAAGAAAAGGAAGACCAAAAGGCUUAAUUAUGGAGUCUGAGAAACAGCAAACCAAAGAGUUAAACGGAAAGGAGGAGAAAGAAGGAAGUAGUGGUUGAAGCAAUCUGCAAGGCAGAGGAGGGGGUCCGUCCUAUUUAAAACAAAGUGCACAAACAACAGGGGAAAGUAUCCAAAAAAAGUUUUGCGAGGAGACAGAAUGGCUGGAAACAGAAUUUGACCUUAAAGCAAGCUAAAGAUCAUAAAUGAAAACAAAACUCUGUACACUGAGCUCUUGAGAUGUUAGGAUCAGCCAUAGAAAGAGGGAAAGAAGUUUGAAGAUUCAGAAAAGGAACUGAAGAUGAUUCCAUUUUCUAGAAGAAAAUAAGUAAGGCUGAAAAGAGAAUAGGACUAGGUGUAAGAGUGGAAUCAGCAAAAUAUGUUAAAAUGAUGUUCAGUUUUAGUCUUCUCUGCAGACCCUUGGAAUUUUCAGGUACAUGCAUAAAUGUGGCAGAAUUGGGCCCACGAUUUACGCACAUCUGUAAUAAAUCUGUUGUAAAUAGCUUGUAAUGAAUAUAUACUGUGACAUGUAUUACUUGAAAUGCUUCACCAGUACCGACAAUUCAGAUCUAUGUAAAUUCCUAAGCAAAGCUGUCACACCUGACUGUAAGAAUUAAUCCAGAAAAAGGAAUACUGGAAUCUUUCUUUUGAAACCAAAGUCAAUUCAUUGUCCCACUAAGCUGGAACAUUUAUUCUUGGAGUGCUUUGGCGGCAAUCUCUUUGGUGUCCUGGGACGGUUUUUUCCAGUGGCUGAUAUGAUGUUCCAAUAUAAUAAUCCUCUGCAAGUCUGACAUUAUUCCACUCUUUUAUUGAAACAAGAAUUUAUUUAUUUUGUUUCAGGAUAAGAAGAAAUAGGGCCCAUAUUGAGAAAUUUCAGAAAUAGCUGGUUAUGGCCAUGCUAUGAAACAUUUUCAUAAUUUGCUGAGUUCUUGUGUAAGAGCUUGAGCUUGAAGACCAAAGUUGCAACACUUCUAUUCAAAGCCUUCAUCACAACAUUGUCUACAUUUUUAAUUGACAAAGGGAAAUGCUGACAAAUUCACGUGAAGAAAUACACCCAUUAUAAACAUAAAAAAAAUACGCAAGAAGACUUCCUGGGCAUAGCAUUAGUCACUUUUCCUAUUAGCAGAGAGUUAGUUUAUGUUGACUGUUGUGAACUGUAUAAAAACAUACUCUUAAUAAAGGGAAAAA